GGGUUGUGAGGUUAAGCGACUAAGCGUACACGGUGGAUGCCCUGGCAGUCAGAGGCGAUGAAGGACGUGCUAAUCUGCGAUAAGCGUCGGUAAGGUGAUAUGAACCGUUAUAACCGGCGAUUUCCGAAUGGGGAAACCCAGUGUGUUUCGACACACUAUCAUUAACUGAAUCCAUAGGUUAAUGAGGCGAACCGGGGGAACUGAAACAUCUAAGUACCCCGAGGAAAAGAAAUCAACCGAGAUUCCCCCAGUAGCGGCGAGCGAACGGGGAGCAGCCCAGAGCCUGAAUCAGUGUGUGUGUUAGUGGAAGCGUCUGGAAAGGCGCGCGAUACAGGGUGACAGCCCCGUACACAAAAAUGCACAUGCUGUGAGCUCGAUGAGUAGGGCGGGACACGUGGUAUCCUGUCUGAAUAUGGGGGGACCAUCCUCCAAGGCUAAAUACUCCUGACUGACCGAUAGUGAACCAGUACCGUGAGGGAAAGGCGAAAAGAACCCCGGCGAGGGGAGUGAAAAAGAACCUGAAACCGUGUACGUACAAGCAGUGGGAGCACGCUUCGGCGUGUGACUGCGUACCUUUUGUAUAAUGGGUCAGCGACUUAUAUUCUGUAGCAAGGUUAACCGAAUAGGGGAGCCGAAGGGAAACCGAGUCUUAACUGGGCGUUAAGUUGCAGGGUAUAGACCCGAAACCCGGUGAUCUAGCCAUGGGCAGGUUGAAGGUUGGGUAACACUAACUGGAGGACCGAACCGACUAAUGUUGAAAAAUUAGCGGAUGACUUGUGGCUGGGGGUGAAAGGCCAAUCAAACCGGGAGAUAGCUGGUUCUCCCCGAAAGCUAUUUAGGUAGCGCCUCGUGAAUUCAUCUCCGGGGGUAGAGCACUGUUUCGGCAAGGGGGUCAUCCCGACUUACCAACCCGAUGCAAACUGCGAAUACCGGAGAAUGUUAUCACGGGAGACACACGGCGGGUGCUAACGUCCGUCGUGAAGAGGGAAACAACCCAGACCGCCAGCUAAGGUCCCAAAGUCAUGGUUAAGUGGGAAACGAUGUGGGAAGGCCCAGACAGCCAGGAUGUUGGCUUAGAAGCAGCCAUCAUUUAAAGAAAGCGUAAUAGCUCACUGGUCGAGUCGGCCUGCGCGGAAGAUGUAACGGGGCUAAACCAUGCACCGAAGCUGCGGCAGCGACGCUGAUGCGUUGUUGGGUAGGGGAGCGUUCUGUAAGCCUGUGAAGGUGUGCUGUGAGGCAUGCUGGAGGUAUCAGAAGUGCGAAUGCUGACAUAAGUAACGAUAAAGCGGGUGAAAAGCCCGCUCGCCGGAAGACCAAGGGUUCCUGUCCAACGUUAAUCGGGGCAGGGUGAGUCGACCCCUAAGGCGAGGCCGAAAGGCGUAGUCGAUGGGAAACAGGUUAAUAUUCCUGUACUUGGUGUUACUGCGAAGGGGGGACGGAGAAGGCUAUGUUGGCCGGGCGACGGUUGUCCCGGUUUAAGCGUGUAGGCUGGUUUUCCAGGCAAAUCCGGAAAAUCAAGGCUGAGGCGUGAUGACGAGGCACUACGGUGCUGAAGCAACAAAUGCCCUGCUUCCAGGAAAAGCCUCUAAGCAUCAGGUAACAUCAAAUCGUACCCCAAACCGACACAGGUGGUCAGGUAGAGAAUACCAAGGCGCUUGAGAGAACUCGGGUGAAGGAACUAGGCAAAAUGGUGCCGUAACUUCGGGAGAAGGCACGCUGAUAUGUAGGUGAAGUCCCUCGCGGAUGGAGCUGAAAUCAGUCGAAGAUACCAGCUGGCUGCAACUGUUUAUUAAAAACACAGCACUGUGCAAACACGAAAGUGGACGUAUACGGUGUGACGCCUGCCCGGUGCCGGAAGGUUAAUUGAUGGGGUCAGCGCAAGCGAAGCUCUUGAUCGAAGCCCCGGUAAACGGCGGCCGUAACUAUAACGGUCCUAAGGUAGCGAAAUUCCUUGUCGGGUAAGUUCCGACCUGCACGAAUGGCGUAAUGAUGGCCAGGCUGUCUCCACCCGAGACUCAGUGAAAUUGAACUCGCUGUGAAGAUGCAGUGUACCCGCGGCAAGACGGAAAGACCCCGUGAACCUUUACUAUAGCUUGACACUGAACAUUGAGCCUUGAUGUGUAGGAUAGGUGGGAGGCUUGGAAGUGUGGACGCCAGUCUGCAUGGAGCCGACCUUGAAAUACCACCCUUUAAUGUUUGAUGUUCUAACGUUGACCCGUAAUCCGGGUUGCGGACAGUGUCUGGUGGGUAGUUUGACUGGGGCGGUCUCCUCCUAAAGAGUAACGGAGGAGCACGAAGGUUGGCUAAUCCUGGUCGGACAUCAGGAGGUUAGUGCAAUGGCAUAAGCCAGCUUGACUGCGAGCGUGACGGCGCGAGCAGGUGCGAAAGCAGGUCAUAGUGAUCCGGUGGUUCUGAAUGGAAGGGCCAUCGCUCAACGGAUAAAAGGUACUCCGGGGAUAACAGGCUGAUACCGCCCAAGAGUUCAUAUCGACGGCGGUGUUUGGCACCUCGAUGUCGGCUCAUCACAUCCUGGGGCUGAAGUAGGUCCCAAGGGUAUGGCUGUUCGCCAUUUAAAGUGGUACGCGAGCUGGGUUUAGAACGUCGUGAGACAGUUCGGUCCCUAUCUGCCGUGGGCGCUGGAGAACUGAGGGGGGCUGCUCCUAGUACGAGAGGACCGGAGUGGACGCAUCACUGGUGUUCGGGUUGUCAUGCCAAUGGCACUGCCCGGUAGCUAAAUGCGGAAGAGAUAAGUGCUGAAAGCAUCUAAGCACGAAACUUGCCCCGAGAUGAGUUCUCCCUGACCCUUUAAGGGUCCUGAAGGAACGUUGAAGACGACGACGUUGAUAGGCCGGGUGUGUAAGCGCAGCGAUGCGUUGAGCUAACCGGUACUAAUGAACCGUGAGGCUUAACCUUACAACGCCGAAG
rnacentral:rRNA from 1 species